AUUGAACGCUGGCGGCAUGCUUUACACAUGCAAGUCGAACGGUAACAGGUUAAGCUGACGAGUGGCGAACGGGUGAGUAAUGCAUCGGAACGUGCCCGAUCGUGGGGGAUAACGCAGCGAAAGCUGCGCUAAUACCGCAUACGAUCUGAGGAUGAAAGCGGGGGACCGUAAGGCCUCGCGCGAUCGGAGCGGCCGAUGUCAGAUUAGGUAGUUGGUGGGGUAAAGGCUCACCAAGCCAACGAUCUGUAGCUGGUCUGAGAGGACGACCAGCCACACUGGGACUGAGACACGGCCCAGACUCCUACGGGAGGCAGCAGUGGGGAAUUGUGGACAAUGGGCGAAAGCCUGAUCCAGCAAUGCCGCGUGCAGGAGGAAGGCCUUCGGGUUGUAAACUGCUUUUGUACGGAGCGAAAAGGCCCUCUCUAAUACAGGGGGUUUAUGACGGUACCGUAAGAAUAAGCACCGGCUAACUACGUGCCAGCCGCCGCGGUAA
rnacentral:rRNA from 1 species